CCGUCAUGAGCGAGCUCUUCGGGAAAGUCACGGGAUGCUGCAGAGGCCAAGGUGGGUCCAUGCACAUGUUCUCCAAAGAGCACAACAUGCUCGGUGGGUUCGCUUUUAUCGGAGAAGGCAUCCCUGUCGCCACCGGUGCUGCGUUCACCUCAAAGUACAAGAGGGAAGUCUUGAAACAGGACUGUGAAGACGUCACAGUUGCGUUUUUCGGAGACGGGACUUGUAACAACGGGCAGUUCUACGAGUGUCUCAACAUGGCUGCGCUUUAUAAGUUGCCUAUUAUCUUCGUCGUGGAGAAUAACUUGUGGGCUAUUGGGAUGUCUCACUUGAGAUCGACUUCUGAUCCUGAGAUAUGGAAGAAAGGUCCUGCGUUUGGGAUGCCGGGUGUUCAUGUUGACGGUAUGGAUGUGCUGAAGGUGAGGGAAGUGGCUAAAGAGGCGGUGACGAGAGCUAGAAGAGGAGAAGGUCCGACGUUGGUGGAAUGUGAGACUUACAGGUUCAGAGGACACUCCUUGGCUGAUCCUGAUGAGCUCCGUGAUGCUGGUACAUCUCUUGUUCCUUUUUUUCUUGUAAUGUUUUAUCUUAGGAUUGAAACUAACCUUUAGAUUAUGGCAGCUGAGAAAGCCAAGUACGCGGCAAGAGACCCGAUCACAGCAUUGAAGAAGUAUCUGAUAGAGAACAAGCUGGCGAAUGAAGGGGAACUUAAGACGAUAGAGAAGAAGAUAGACGAUUUGGUGGAGGAAGCGGUUGAGUUUGCAGACGCGAGCCCACAGCCUGGUCGGAGUCAGUUGCUAGAGAAUGUGUUUGCUGAUCCCAAAGGGUUUGGAAUAGGACCCGAUGGAAGGUACAGAUGUGAGGAUCCCAAGUUUACUCAAGGCACUGCUCAAGUCUGAAGAAAAAAACUACUUAACCUGUGUUCUGUUCUGUCUUUGGUUUCUGUUUAAUGUUUUUUUUUACUUGUCAUUAAGUUAAAAUGCUACAAAAAAACACAGUUUGGAUCGUUUGAAUUAUUUUUUCUUUCAGUUGGAAAUUUGCUAAAUUACAGAAAAUGUUCGUCAAAACAUUCUGAAUAACAAAACGACUAAGCUAAAGAGAGGCUUUCAUGUAGCGGGUUAAAUGACCCGACCCGGUUUAUCCUCUUAAAUUUUCUAUAUUUCUUAUUUAUUUAUUUUUAGUUUUCGUCACAAAUUAUUUACUUUUAAUGGCGGAGAAACGUAACGUUACUGACCUCAUCAUGAACGUUGGUGCUGGUGGCGGAGGUGGUGCCCCAGUUUCAGCUGCUGCCCCAGCUGCCGGUGGUGGUGCUGCAGCUCAAGAUGUUCGGUUUUGUCCACUUGUACAACGGCCAAGAAGCCGUCUCCACCGGCUUCAUCAAGCUCCUCACUCAGUCUGAUUCAGUCGUCAGCACGUACCGUGACCACGUCCACGCCCUCAGCAAAGGCGUCUCUGCUCGUGCCGUCAUGAGCGAGCUCUUCGGGAAAGUCACGGGAUGCUGCAGAGGCCAAGGUGGGUCCAUGCACAUGUUCUCCAAAGAGCACAACAUGCUCGGUGGGUUCGCUUUUAUCGGAGAAGGCAUCCCUGUCGCCACCGGUGCUGCGUUCACCUCAAAGUACAAGAGGGAAGUCUUGAAACAGGACUGUGAAGACGUCACAGUUGCGUUUUUCGGAGACGGGACUUGUAACAACGGGCAGUUCUACGAGUGUCUCAACAUGGCUGCGCUUUAUAAGUUGCCUAUUAUCUUCGUCGUGGAGAAUAACUUGUGGGCUAUUGGGAUGUC
rnacentral:lncRNA from 1 species